AUGGACUCCCCCUGUCAAUCCCUCGCUAGCCCUACCUCGUCUCCCGUCUCCAGUCGCAGCCGCCGCCACACCUGCCGACCCCUGCGCAGCACACCCACCCCUGCGCUCGGCCACAGCGGCGGCGGCGGCGGCCGCGGUCCGGCUCCAGCGCGCCGGCGGCCGCGACGGAGGCCCCGGAGGCGGUCGUCGGGGCGGGCGGCGCGAGGUGGGAGCCGAUGGGCACGCGGGAGUACUACGACUACCGGCGGGCCAUCUACGGCGACAUCACGCACAAGGCCAUCCUCGUCGACGCCGCCGGCACCCUCCUCGCCCCCACCGAGCCCAUGGCCCAGGUGUACAGAACAGUAGGCGAUAAGUAUGGGGUGAAGUACUCGGAGGAUGAUAUCUUGAUGAGGACCUCGAGGCCUCGGAGAGCCCCUCCGAACAAGACGCUCACGGGAGCUCUGCCUUGAUGGGGAAAACAGCGGAGUUGGUGCAGUGGCGAAUGUGGGCGGGGUCGGCCGUGGAGGGAGACUUGCUGGUCGGAGCAGCAGGAGCAAGAAGAUUGAGGCGGUUCAGGGCAAGACAAGAACAUUAGUUGGAUCCAAAGUAUUGAGAUUGCAGAGGACUCAACAAAGGGUCUGCACUUAUUCUAUAAAUUCAGUAUCAGUUGAUGCAUGAUGAUGAUCAUCCACCGAGCAGCACAUCAUCUUGGAAAAGCAGAUGCGAAUUUCUGCUAGGGAUAAGCUGGUCAAUGCAGGAAAAUCUAAAGAAAGCGACUAAAAUCAACAUUUGAAGGAGAAGGCGCUUAUUUCAUCGGCUAAGGUUUCUGUUGGUUACUUCUUUUCGUCCUUCAGUUCAUCGAAAAAUGAAGAGGAUCAUGCCUUUCUGUUGGAAUUGCUUUUCUGGUUUAAGCAAUCAUUCAGGAUAUUAGGUAGAAAAAAAACAAUUUCUGGCGAGUUCUUUGUUGGUCUGCUCCACCUCCCUUGGCGCUUGACCUAGCAGAUGUGUGUGCGUGUGCAGAUCACCCAUGCCUCCACUACGCCACCUGCUGUUGGAUGGCACUGGCCGUCCAAGCAUGUGGAACUGGAAGGACUGUCCGUCAUGGCGGCACAGCUCAUCUCAGAGGAGAAAAGACCAAGGUCCUGCAGGUUUCAAGUACUACAUAUAGGAGGAGGCAGGAGUGGCUGCAAUCUUGCUACGAAAUGACACUUACGGAGCUUCUUUACCUAACAUGGCCAAGAAGUCCGCAAAAUCCAGUGAGCGUAGAGUAUGCUGGUUGGAUACAUAUCUGCAGAGUGCAUGUAGUGUGUGUGUCAGAUAUACAGUGGGAAAACACCACAAUGCAAGUGUCAGAUCCUGUUCUUGAUGCAAUUUUGCGACUCUAUUCUGGACUGUAAGCAAUUGGUUGAAGUUCAGCUGAAACUCAGAUCAGUCUUGUGGCUCUUCUGUACCUAUAUGCCUAGAUUAUUUGCUAAUGGUAUAUGAACGAUAUCUUCCUGUAUAGGAUGAUCAAUUGCCAGGAAUAGAAAGACUAUGGUUAUGAUUUU